GCUGAUGGUGGAGCCCUAUACAGGGGUCGGUCAGCCUCACAACCCUCAGAUCAUGAUCUGAGCAGAAACCAAGAGUGGGGCACUUAACCGACCGUACCACCCAGGUGCCCCUGGGAGUUAUUAUUUUUGGUCAAAUUAUAAUUUUGAUCAAACUGUCAGUUUACCAACUGUUUCCUUCCGGUGCACCCAGGCCCUUGUUUCCUCACCUGCUGGCCUCCCCCAUCGCUGGUGUCCUGUGUGCUGUGUUGCCAGCCAGCCCAAGCAUCUCCCUCGUCUCCCGUGUUUCUAGAACAUCUGCCCUGCUGAUCUCUAGUUUUCGAUGAACUCUACCAUCCGCUUUCUGCCCUCCUGCCCUGCGGCCUGCUGAACGCUGCUCUCCAUCCUGGACUAUCCUCCCUGCCCCUAUCUUCCACCCCAAGACAAGCCUCUUAUCUUGUCCCUCUUCCGAGUCCCCACAAUUUAAUUAUCCUGCCUGCUCGUUGCAUAGCCCAGGCUAUACUCCUCGAUCCCAUGAAGACGCAGAUUCUCAGUUUGUAAAAUAAAGGUCAUAUCAGUUAAUUUUGACAGGAGUGGAAGAAAGAAUGAAGUUUCUAAUACACUCGGCAAUGGGAAAGAGGGAAAGAAGAUUUCUUUGACCUCCUCAACAACGGAGGUGAUCACGUCUGUGGUCUAUAAGCCAAAAAGCUGUCUGUAAAUGUGUGUUGUCAUGAUUGGGACAUGCACAGAACUCUGGUCAGAAGUAAACCAGGCAUGUCUGGCCAAUUAGGGAGGCUUGGGAGACAGCACAUCCACUCGGAGGGUCCUGAGAACUCCAUAUCUCGGACUCAGGGUUCCUGUGCACCCUCCCAUGCCUCGAUCGGGAUGGAGAGACCCAGCCCAGACUCUGUGUUUGUUUUCAGGGCCCUUCCCCUGCUCAGAGCUUGGUAGAGAGCCAGAGACUAUCAGAGGCCCUCUGUAGGGUCAUUUUCUUUCUGAAAUGUUCAAUGAACAUCCUGUGUCAUCAAUGACUUCCACUCUCCUUGUCUAGGAACUACAUUUUACAUCGGCCUGAGAGCUUAGCCCAAGACUCCUUUUCCUCUUGGUGCCGCUGAGAGAGAACAGUCUCCAAUAAGGGGUGGCCGGCUGUGCCGCUGGCCAACUGUGCCCAUGACAAAGUCAUUUCACCUCAUGAAGGGUCAUCUGGAAAAGGGAUAACGCCCCUGACCUUGAACAACACAGCUUGCUUCACUGGAAGAACGAACACAGCCUCUAAUACAUACAACCCACAAGAGAGUCAACUGUGGCAUCCGAAGACUUGUCCAAAGACAUUGCUGCUUCUAGGAGCCUAUGGUCAACCAGGUAGCAUUUCAGCCUAGCAGAAGGAAAAGCAGGUAGGAAACAUGAACCAGACAUACUGAAGACUGCUAGAGGUAGGUAACAUAACUAGGAAGAAAUGCUCAGGGCUCGAACAAGGAUUUGUACAACUCUAGGGAACACACCCUUCCCAGAGGCAGGAGGAUGUGCAAGGACUGGGAGGCAGUCACACUGAAUUCUCAGUAGAAGGAACUUUGGUCUAGACACACAGGCAAUGACUCAGCCCUGCAGGAGAUUAGGAUCUCAUUGGAGAGAGACAAGGUAGAUGUGGGGCUCUCUGCACCCCCAGUCUGUGGCAGGAGGUGGGUAGACCAGAUUGUAGGAGACAGCCCUCUUCCCUGGGAGGGUGGGACAUCAGAGAUCUGGUGAACAGAUGAAAUAGAUGUGAACAGAUUUAUUUGUCCAGGGCCUGGGUGAAUUUUGAGAAGAAAACCCAAGCUGGGCCCGUGAUGGUCUGUGUACCCGUCAGGGCAGCCCACCAGCCGGCCAGCCAGCUGUUCUCUCCAGUCUCCUUCUUCUUACUCUCUCCUUUUCUUAUUUGCCAGUCUGUUAUCUAUUUGAAUGCAACUAUAGGACCAUGAAGCUACCAUAUGAAUAAGCAAGCCUGUGUGAUGUCUUAGUCUGUCCUCCUGUCAGAAGAGGAAGGGAGCCCUCCAGGAUCUCUUUCAUAAGGACAUCAAGCCUGUUCAUGGGGGCUCGCACUCUCAUGACCUCCUCACAUCCCGGGGGGCCCACCUCCUAAUAAUGUCACUGAGAAUGGGAUUCAACAUGUGAAUCUCGGGAGGACACAAGCAUUCCAUCUAUAGCACCUGGUAUUUUCCAGGCUAUGUUAGAAGGAGCAAACCCUGUAGAAAUCAUUUGGAUAUCACUGAAAUCCCAUUGAGUGCCCAGAGUGAAAACUGAGACAGACCGUGAGCACAGAAUGAGAGUGACCUGCCACUGGAGAUGAGGGCCUGGAAAUGAGGAAGCACAUCUUCCCAUCCCACGUCCUACAAAACCGGCACCAACAAGGAAGCCAAGAGAGGCAGAUUUCUACAAGGAAAUAGAUUGUUAACCGACUAUGGUUAACCAACUCUUCCUGUUGUUUGACGAGUACUAAAUCCAUGAUCCGGAAUCCGGCUCACUAUUUGCUUCUACAACGGGCAUUCUACUUACUCCCCUUCCCCUUAAUCCUCAUGUAACAUGGUGGAAAAUUACAUUUAUCAGGUAAUCCCCAUAAAGAUGGUUUGAGAAAGAAGCAGUGAGAGUGUCUUAGCCCAAGCUGCUGUAACAAAAUAUCACAGACAUUGAUUUUUUUUUUGGUCACAAUUCCAGAGCUGUAAGUCUGAGUUCAAAGUGUUAGCAGAUCUGGUUGCUGGUGAAAGGGCUCGCUUGGUGGUCGGUAGGCGGCUGCCAUCUUGCUGUAUGACGGAGAGAGAGCUCUGACCCCUUUCUCUUCAUAUAAGCAUAUUACUCCCAUCUGGGUGCCCCUGCCUCCUGACCUGAUCUAAACCUAACUGCCUCCCAAAGAUCCUACUUCCUAACAGCAACACACUGGCAGAUAAGUCUUCAACACCUGCCUCUGGGGACACACCAACAUGUAGUCUCUAACAUAGUGAGCAAAGAACCACACUUCUCAGGGGCUCAGAAAACUUCUGGAAGCUGCCUUUUCGGGAGUGAGGGAGAAGGAGGAAGCCUGGGCUGGCUCAGCUGCUGUCUGUGUCCUCGAGUGUGGUGUGGGGCAGGUGUGGGGGCUGAAGUCCCAUGGAGGUUUCCAGUAGGGAGACAGAGCCAAGAGUAACCCGGUGGUGAGAGAGGACAAGAUUGUAGCCUGCUCUCUCACAGGAACCACAGAGGGGAUGGGGAGUGACGUCCAUACUAGAGUCUGAGAAACUGAGAAUCACCGUGUAGAAUAUGGCAGCCGUCUGCCCUUCAAAGAAAGAUACACUAACGAUCUACUUUUUUUUUUCCCCGUUGAAGUUUCUAGAGGCAGGUGCACUAGCCUUCUUUCCAAGGACACUUGAAAAGAUGUAAUUUCUGUUUCAGGAUACAAAGCUUACUAUAUUAG